ACGGUUUAACAAAUAUAUGUACAUUUCUUUGUCUUAGGAAAAAAUUUGUAUUUAGGGUAAAAAUACUCUAAUAAGGUUGAGGGACGAUAAGACCCUGAAAGCUUCAUUUUUAUUAAAAUAGUAGUUAGUUUUAGUAAUAAGCUUAAUUUUACAGGAAAUUAGCUGGGGUAGUUGCUUUAUUAAAACUAGUGUAUAGUUAGUACAGUAAUAUUUGGUCUUAGAUCCUUUAUAUUAGGGUAAGUAGAGUAAGUUACUUUAGGGGUAACAGCGUAAUAUAUUUGGAGAGUUCAGAUCUAUAAUUAUGAUUGCGACCUCGAUGUUGAAUUAAAAUAAUCUUUACAGAGUAGAAG
rnacentral:rRNA from 1 species